GCGCCAGUAGCUCAAGCGGAUAGAGCAAUGGAUUUCUAAUCCGCGUGCCGGGGGUUCGAGUCCCUCCGCCGCC
rfam:Candidatus Handelsmanbacteria bacterium RIFCSPLOWO2_12_FTLL_64_10 rifcsplowo2_12_scaffold_13128, whole genome shotgun sequence.